rnacentral:rRNA from 1 species
GCAAGUCGAACGAACCUUCGGGUUAGUGGCGGACGGGUGAGUAACGCGUGAGAAUCUGCCCUCAGGAGGGGGACAACAGCUGGAAACGGCUGCUAAUACCCCAUAUGCCGCGAGGUGAAAUGAAUUUCGCCUGAGGAUGAGCUCGCGUCUGAUUAGCUAGUUGGUGUAGGUAAUGGCUCACCAAGGCAUCGAUCAGUAGCUGGUCUGAGAGGAUGAUCAGCCACACUGGGACUGAGACACGGCCCAGACUCCUACGGGAGGCAGCAGUGGGGAAUUUUCCGCAAUGGGCGAAAGCCUGACGGAGCAACGCCGCGUGAGGGAUGAAGGCCUCUGGGCUGUAAACCUCUUUUAUCAAGGAAGAAGAUCUGACGGUACUUGAUGAAUAAGCCACGGCUAAUUCCGUGCCAGCAGCCGCGGUAAUACGGGAGUGGCAAGCGUUAUCCGGAAUUAUUGGGCGUAAAGCGUCCGCAGGCGGCCCUUCAAGUCUGCUGUUAAAAAGUGGAGCUUAACUCCAUCAUGGCAGUGGAAACUGUUGGGCUUGAGUGUGGUACGGGCAGAGGGAAUUCCCGGUGGUACGGUGAAAU